AGCGAACGCUGGCGGCAGGCUUAACACAUGCAAGUCGAGCGGGCACUUUCGGGUGUCAGCGGCGUACGGGUGAGUAACGCGUGGGAACGUGCCCUCUGGUUCGGAAUAACUCAGGGAAACUUGAGCUAAUACCGGAUACGCCCUUUUGGGGAAAGGCUUGCUGCCGGAGGAUCGGCCCGCGUCUGAUUAGCUAGUUGGUGAGGUAACGGCUCACCAAGGCGACGAUCAGUAGCUGGUCUGAGAGGAUGAUCAGCCACACUGGGACUGAGACACGGCCCAGACUCCUACGGGAGGCAGCAGUGGGGAAUAUUGGACAAUGGGCGCAAGCCUGAUCCAGCCAUGCCGCGUGAGUGAUGAAGGCCUUAGGGUUGUAAAGCUCUUUUAUCCGGGACGAUAAUGACGGUACCGGAGGAAUAAGCCCCGGCUAACUUCGUG
rnacentral:rRNA from 1 species